AUUGAACGCUGGCGGCAGGCCUAACACAUGCAAGUCGAACGGUAACAGGAAGCAGCUUGCUGCUUCGCUGACGAGUGGCGGACGGGUGAGUAAUGUCUGGGAAGCUGCCUGAUGGAGGGGGAUAACUACUGGAAACGGUAGCUAAUACCGCAUAAUGUGGCAAGACGAAAGAGGGGGACCUUCGGGCCUCUUGCCAUCGGAUGUGCCCAGAUGGGAUUAGCUUGUUGGUGGGGUAACGGCUCACCAAGGCGACGAUCCCUAGCUGGUCUGAGAGGAUGACCAGCCACACUGGAACUGAGACACGGUCCAGACUCCUACGGGAGGCAGCAGUGGGGAAUAUUGCACAAUGGGCGCAAGCCUGAUGCAGCCAUGCCGCGUGUAUGAAGAAGGCCUUCGGGUUGUAAAGUACUUUCAGCGGGGAGGAAGGGAGUAAAGUUAAUACCUUUGCUCAUUGACGUUACCCGCAGAAGAAGCACCGGCUAACUCCGUG
rnacentral:rRNA from 1 species